rnacentral:rRNA from 1 species
CCUGGUCAGGACGAAGUCAGGGGAAACCCUGAUGGAGGUCCGUAGCGAUUCUGACGUGCAAAUCGAUCGUCGGAACUGGGUAUAGGGGCGAAAGACUAAUCGAACCAUCUAGUAGCUGGUUCCCUCCGAAGUUUCCCUCAGGAUAGCUGGCGCUCGUCGCCUACGAGUCUCAUCCGGUAAAGCGAAUGAUUAGAGGCAUUGGGGUCGAAACGGCCUCAACCUAUUCUCAAACUUUAAAUGGGUGAGAUCUCCGGCUUGCUCGAACUUAUGAAGCCGCGAGACACGGAUCAGAGUGCCAAGUGGGCCAUUUUUGGUAAGCAGAACUGGCGCUGUGGGAUGAACCAAACGCCGAGUUAAAGCGCCUAAAUCGACGCUUAUGGGAUACCAUGAAAGGCGUUGGUAACUUAAGACAGCAGGACGGUGGCCAUGGAAGUCGGAAUCCGCCAAGGAGUGUGUAACAACUCACCUGCCGAAGUUACUAGCCCUGAAAAUGGAUGGCGCUGAAGCGUCGUGCUUAUACUCGGCCGUCAGCGGCAUGUGCGGUCGGACGGACUUGUUCGUCGGCCAUGAAGCCCUGACGAGUAGGAGGGUCGCGGCGGUGUGCGCAGAAGGGUUGGCCGCGAGGCCGCUUGGAGCCGCCGUCGGUGC